rnacentral:rRNA from 1 species
AGAGUUUGAUCAUGGCUCAGAUUGAACGCUGGCGGCAGGCUUAACACAUGCAAGUCGAGCGGAAACGAGAAGUGCUUGCACUUCGGCGUCGAGCGGCGGACGGGUGAGUAAUGCUUGGGAAUAUGCCUUAUGGUGGGGGACAACAGUUGGAAACGACUGCUAAUACCGCAUAACGUCUACGGACCAAAGGGGGGGAUCUUCGGACCUCUCGCCAUUUGAUUAGCCCAAGUGAGAUUAGCUAGUUGGUAAGGUAAUGGCUUACCAAGGCGACGAUCUCUAGCUGGUUUGAGAGGAUGAUCAGCCACACUGGGACUGAGACACGGCCCAGACUCCUACGGGAGGCAGCAGUGGGGAAUAUUGCACAAUGGGGGGAACCCUGAUGCAGCCAUGCCGCGUGUGUGAAGAAGGCCUUCGGGUUGUAAAGCACUUUCAGUUGUGAGGAA